rnacentral:rRNA from 1 species
UACGUAGGGUGCAAGCGUUGUCCGGAAUUAUUGGGCGUAAAGAGCUCGUAGGCGGUCUGUCGCGUCGGAUGUGAAAAUCCAGGGCUCAACCCUGGACCUGCAUUCGAUACGGGCAGACUAGAGUUCGGUAGGGGAGACUGGAAUUCCUGGUGUAGCGGUGAAAUGCGCAGAUAUCAGGAGGAACACCGGUGGCGAAGGCGGGUCUCUGGGCCGAAACUGACGCUGAGGAACGAAAGCGUGGGGAGCAAACAGG